AGAGUUUGAUCCUGGCUCAGGAUGAACGCUAGCUACAGGCUUAACACAUGCAAGUCGAGGGGCAGCAUUUUAGUUUGCUUGCAAACUAAAGAUGGCGACCGGCGCACGGGUGAGUAACACGUAUCCAACCUACCGAUAACUCUGGAAUAGCCUUUCGAAAGAAAGAUUAAUACCGGAUAGUAUACGAAUAUCGCAUGAUAUUUUUAUUAAAGAAUUUCGGUUAUCGAUGGGGAUGCGUUCCAUUAGUUUGUUGGCGGGGUAACGGCCCACCAAGACUACGAUGGAUAGGGGUUCUGAGAGGAAGGUCCCCCACAUUGGAACUGAGACACGGUCCAAACUCCUACGGGAGGCAGCAGUGAGGAAUAUUGGUCAAUGGGCGAGAGCCUGAACCAGCCAAGUAGCGUGAAGGAUGAAGGCUCUAUGGGUCGUAAACUUCUUUUAUAUGGGAAUAAAGUUUUCCACGUGUGGAAUUUUGUAUGUACCAUAUGAAUAAGGAUCGGCUAACUCCGUGCCAGCAGCCGCGGUAAUACGGAGGAUCCGAGCGUUAUCCGGAUUUAUUGGGUUUAAAGGGAGCGUAGGUGGAUUGUUAAGUCAGUUGUGAAAGUUUGCGGCUCAACCGUAAAAUUGCAGUUGAAACUGGGAGUCUUGAGUACAGUAGAGGUGGGCGGAAUUCGUGGUGUAGCGGUGAAAUGCUUAGAUAUCACGAAGAACUCCGAUUGCGAAGGCAGCUCACUAGACUGUUACUGACACUGAUGCUCGAAAGUGUGGGUAUCAAACAGGAUUAGAUACCCUGGUAGUCCACACAGUAAACGAUGAAUACUCGCUGUUUGCGAUAUACAGUAAGCGGCCAAGCGAAAGCAUUAAGUAUUCCACCUGGGGAGUACGCCGGCAAC
rnacentral:rRNA from 1 species